rnacentral:rRNA from 1 species
AUUGAACGCUGGCGGCAGGCCUAGCACAUGCAAGUCGAACGGUAACAGGAAGAAGCUUGCUUCUUUGCUGACGAGUGGCGGACGGGUGAGUAAUGUCUGGGAAACUGCCUGAUGGAGGGGGAUAACUACUGGAAACGGUGGCUAAUACCGCAUAACGUCGCAAGACCAAAAAGGGGGACCUUCGGGCCUCUUGCCAUCGGAUGUGCCCAGAUGGGAUUAGCUAGUAGGUGGGGUAACGGCUCACCUAGGCGACGAUCCCUAGCUGGUCUGAGAGGAUGACCAGCCACACUGGAACUGAGACACGGUCCAGACUCCUACGGGAGGCAGCAGUGGGGAAUAUUGCACAAUGGGCGCAAGCCUGAUGCAGCCAUGCCGCGUGUAUGAAGAAGGCCUUCGGGUUGUAAAGUACUUUCAGCGGGGAGGAAGGGAGUAAAGUUAAUACCUUUGCUCAUUGACGUUACCCGCAGAAGAAGCACCGGCUAACUCCGUG